GUUUCUUAGAUCUCCGAUUUACUUGGAUAACUGUGGUAAUUCUAGAGCUAAUACACGCAUUCGAGCUCCGCCCGCAAGGAACGAGCGCAUUUAUUAGACUAAAACUAAUCUGCACUUGUGCAGCAAGUUUGGUGACUCUGAAUAACUCAGCUGAUCGCUUCGGUCUCGUACCGGCGACAUGUCUUUCAAGUGUCUGCCUUAUCAACUUUCGAUGGUAGUUUAUGUGACUACCAUGGUUGUAACGGGUAACGGAGAAUCAGGGUUCGACUCCGGAGAGGGAGCCUGAGAAACGGCUACCACUUCUAAGGAAGGCAGCAGGCGCGCAAAUUACCCACUCUCAGUACGAGGAGGUAGUGACGAAAAAUAACGAGAUGGGACUCUAUCGAGUACCAUCAUCGGAAUGAGAACAAUCUAAACCCUUUAACGAGGACCUAGCGGAGGGCAAGUCUGGUGCCAGCAGCCGCGGUAAUUCCAGCUCCGUAAGUGUAUAUCUAUGCUGCUGCGGUUAAAAAGCUCGUAGUUGGAUCUGCGUGCAUGGUGAUGGUCCGGCCUUUGGUCGUGAACUGUCUACCUGCACUAAAUAGCUAGUUCACUCUUGGUGCCCUUCAUCGGGUGUCUUGAGCGUCUAGCAAAUUUACUUUGAAAAAAUUAGAGUGCUUAAAACAAGCGUUUUGCUUGAAUA
rnacentral:rRNA from 1 species